ACGCGCCCUCUAAGAAAAUCAGCCAAUCCGUUCUCAGGAGAAACGUGGAAGACGCGUGAAAGGUGUUUGACUAAAUGUCCCAAUGAAUACUAAGAUCUUGGAUUUGAUUUGUCAUAGAUUGGUGAACGAGUUGUUGGUGGCAUGAUUUUCGAAAAAAAAUUUGGGAGGUGGGAUUCGGAGUAUCAUGCAGCAUUAUUGCUUUCUAAUUAAUUUAUGCAUGUUGAUUUUCUUUGUCUUGUAUGCAGCAUGUCCAUGAAUGCCCUGCCGGGUUUCAUUUUAGGAGCGCACCAGAAUGCAGGAGGGGGCAGAGAAGAAGAAACUGGAGUAGUUUCAAUUCAGUUCAUGGAAUUCUUUGUCAAGGGACGCUGCUGAUAUAGCUCAAUGUUUGCACAGUGGAGUCCUCCAAUUGAUGAGGUGAUUAACACAGGUGUGGUGCCACGCUUCACUAAGUUCCUCACACACGUUACUAACUCCAGGUGCAAGAACAAGCAUUACGAAGUGUACAAAAUUGUUGCAAGUUAUUUCUGUGAAUAGCUAUUUUCAUCUUCUCGAUUAAUUGGUCGUAGGAACUUUAAAUAUUCGUUCAUGUACUCCUCUAUAGGUUUACUUAACUGUACUAGCAUGACUAUUAUAGUAAUAGAAUAUUCCACAUGAAGGCUUUUUCAAAUAGAUGUAGGCUUGUAGCCUGGCUGUGUUUUUAAAUUUUCAUAAAGAGAUCCAUGCCUGACAUUGUCACGGUAGGCCAAAUUUGGUUUUAUGGAUUUAGUCGGGAGUAAUUUAGAUCAUCUCUUGUCAAUGUUAGAGACAAUGAUGCACCUGCACGAUGUACGGUACUCUGGCUAAGCCCUUUUAUGGAACUAUAGAUGGAGAGCCUUUGAUAUUAUUGGUAUUUGUAUUUUGAUGUGUGUACUGUGUAGAUGAAUUGCUUGAUGACAUUAAGAUUGGCUUGUGCACACCACAUGUUUGAUAAAUUGUCCAUGAGAACUUUUGUGAAAUCUGUGGGUUUAUACCUCUUUGUAGUUUAGCACAAUAUGUUCUACUAUACUACCAAUCGACAGAGCUUCUCAACAAUAAAUAAUUGCCCUGAACUUCUACACUUCCUAUUUGUUGUAGUGCAUCUUAGUAUUAUAUAUGUGCAGCUAGCUCAAUAUAGUUCACUUGGGGGACAGGAGAUACUAGAUGGAGUAUUCUUAUUUCAAACUGUGAUAUGAACUUCCUAGAUAACCAUGACCGUGCUAUUACAUUUUAAAAUGAACGAAAAUGUUCGCUUUUGUUAUACUUAUACUUGCAUGAGCAUGACUUAUUUCUUCUGUAUAUUUUUUUUCCGAUAAAGGUCAUGCAACUUAGGCAUGAAAAGUUACAGCAACGCCAUGUAAACCAUGCUUAUAUUAUAAUUAGUACCCCUUUUGCUGUUUUGGUAUUUUGGCACAUAACAGCAACCUACAUGUUCCUAUGACGUGAUAUUGCUGAGUGAAUUUUGUAUCAACUACACCCUUCCUGAAUAGUAAGAAGAAUAAGGGAGGAGGAACUGAAAGGAAGAAAUGGUAGAAGAAUAAAGAAGUAAGCAGGGAGGGAGAUCACAACCUCCAAGGCAACACAUCAAGGUAAGCCAUCAAUCUGACUUUGUAGCACCACUAAAUAUAUGAACUUGUCAGUAGCAUCUUGACUGAAAGUAAGGUCUGAACAAUUUGGAUGAUGCACACAGGGGCUAAAUGACUCAUCGGUAUACUUAACAAGCUUGCAAGCCGAAUAGAAAUUCAAAGGUAUUGCCAGUUUCCCACAUAUUCAUGUAUUGUUUGGCUUCGAGAGUAUAAAUUAACCACCACCUGAUACCUUUUAUUUAAUGAAGAUGUUAAUGAUAUUCUAAUGUCUCCUCUACCACUCGAUCAAUCCAAGAGACAAAUAUACACUUCCUUUUAUUUUACAGAUUUUUUUUAAAGUAUCUAAGGACAUGUUCAAUUAAGCAUCGCUUUGUACACAACAACAUUAACUUGUUUGAUGUCAUCUUUAAUUCUUGAAUUAUAUGUGUUAUCAUGUAACUUACACUGAAACGGGCUUUAUCUAAAGUGGUACAGUGCAGUUUGUGUGAGAACAAUUUUUAAUGCUCUGUGCCGUGCAUCCGUCUUCGCUGCUGGCAAGGUUGGUCUGUGGAUGAGCAUGGGCGCUACGUCGGCUCCACGGACCUGAGGGCACCGAAGCCGAUAGAGGUGGUCAAGGACUGGAACAGGGUCCCCACAUCGUGCUCCGCUCGCCCAGGAGAGCGACCUCCUCUUCAAAACCGCCUCUUCUUGUUGAUCUCCAUUCAGUGUGAUUCUGAUAUGGUCUCCUUAACUCGGUUUAAAAAAUUGCAUAACAGUAAAAUAUAAAAUUGUCAGAUAGCAAUUUUUUUGUUGAUGCAGUCCUGCGGAACUGGUAAAGUGAACAAAGUUCUUGCACUUAAUGGAUUUUAAUGCAUUUCGUGUUUUUCCAAAACACCAACGGUACUGAAGGAUGCUGCAUUUUUGUGUUGUUCGAAAGCAACAUGGUCACCAAAGAACAUCUGUUCAUCUUCUAAGUGGUAGAUUUUAGCUAAUUUUUUUAAAUAAUACGAUUUUUUUAAUCAUUUUUAAAAAUAUACG
rnacentral:lncRNA from 1 species